rnacentral:sRNA from 1 species
UUGGGAGCUCACUGGCUUUGGGUUCCGUCGGAACUCCAAAGUUAAGCAAGAAGGAGGUCAGAGCACUCCCAGGAUGGGUGACCCACUGGGAAGUUGCUCAUGAGUUCCCAAAAACAAAACCGUGAGGGAAUGGUAAGCCCAAAGCGGACAAUAUCGUGCUACAGUGGUGGAACGGGCCCGGGAAGUGAUCCGUCCCGGGCCGGGAUGUGACGAUUUGGUAUCAGAGCCUAACCCUCGCCGCGUGUGUGCCAACGAGGACGUCAGGCCCCUAAGGGGGGUGGAUUGUGACAUCCCACAUCGCUCAGGGAGUGAUCCUUAAAUGUAUAUUCUCAUCCCUACCUAGCACGAGGCUUUUUGGGAGCUCACUGGCUUCGGGUUCCGUCGGAACUCCGAAGUUAAGCGAGAAGGAGGCCAGAGCACUCCUAUGAUGGGUGACCCACUGGGAAGUUGCUCGUGAGUUCCCAAA